GUGUCAGCAGCCGCGGUAACACGAACCGUACGAACGUUAUUCGGAAUUACUGGGCUUAAAGGGUUUGUAGGCGGCCAUGUAAGUCAGGUGUGAAAUCCCUCGGCUCAACCGAGGAACGGCGCUUGAUACUGCAUGGCUUGAGGGAGACAGGGGUAAGCGGAACUGAUGGUGGAGCGGUGAAAUGCGUUGAUAUCAUCAGGAACACCGGUGGCGAAAGCGGCUUACUGGGUCUCUUCUGACGCUGAGGAACGAAAGCUAGGGUAGCGAACGGGAUUAGAAACCCUGGUAGUCC
rnacentral:rRNA from 1 species